CUCCCGGCCAAUCGCCCGCAGUCCUGCGCGAGGAGGCGGAGCCUCCCUGGCCCUUCAACCUGUCCCUGGCCCCCCGGGGGGGGGUCUCGGGGGGGUCCCCGGUUCGGGGGAGCCUCCGGCCCUUCCUGCUGCGCCGGGACCCCCCCGAGGCGCGCCCGGAGCCCCCCCAGCGCCGCGCCAGCUCCCUGGGCCGUGUCGGACGUUGAGCCCCCCCCGUCCCCCGAGGAUCCCCCGGCGGGGCCGAGGGGCUUUGGGGGGGACUGGUCCUGCCCCACACACCCACUGGGACCCGUUCCUGCCCCACACACCCACUGGGAACCAGUUCCUGCCCCAUAACUCCCACUGGGAACCACUUUGUGCCCCACAGACCCACUGGGAACCAGUUCCUGCCCCAUAACUCCUACUGGGAGCCCAUUCCUGCCCCACUGGGACCCAUUUCCCGCCCCCCCCGCAGGGUCCCGCCCCCUCCCAGCCCCCAUGGGUGCCUCUCCCCCUCCUCCUUCCCCCCCCCCCCAAUUUUUUGGGUACAUUUCAAUAAAAACGGUGACUCCUCUUCGGC